GCGGGCGUGGCGAAAUGGCAGACGCGCUGGGUUUAGGUCCCAGUUCUCGAAAGGGAGUGGAGGUUCAAGUCCUCUCGCCCGCACCA
rnacentral:tRNA from 2 species